UGGGGAAUAUUGCGCAAUGGGCGAAAGCCUGACGCAGCCACGCCGCGUGUGUGAUGAAGGCCUUCGGGUCGUAAAGCACUGUUUGGAGGGAAGAAGAACUGACGGUACCUCCCAAGAAAGCACCGGCUAACUCCGUGCCAGCAGCCGCGGUAAUACGGAGGGUGCAAGCGUUGCUCGGAAUCACUGGGCGUAAAGGGUACGCAGGCGGCUCGUUAAGUCGGGUGUGAAAGCCCGGGGCUCAACCCCGGAAUUGCGCUCGAUACUGGCGGGCUUGAGUACGGGAGAGGGAUAGCGGAAUUCCUGGUGUAGAGGUGAAAUUCGUAGAUAUCAGGAGGAACACCAGUGGCGAAAGCGGCUUCCUGGCCCGAUACUGACGCUCAUGUACGAAAGCGUGGGGAGCAAACAGGAUUAGAUACCCCCGUAGUCC
rnacentral:rRNA from 1 species